GACUGUCCUGAUUCUCCUGUCUCAGGCUGAAUCUCUACUGGAGAAGGACUUUUGCCUCUGCUCAUAGCGGGGAUUACAGCGGCGGGCAUGUGUUCCAUCCCAGCCUUGCAGAGGAAUGACAGAGCCCCCAACAGGCACAGGUCGACAGCACGGAAAACUCAGACAGCAAACGCGCGCCCCUGACCUUGAAUGGCCCGGGGCCCAGAAUUCUUACCACGCCCCCGGCGUCCAAGAACCAGCCGCCAACCUGACCGUACCUGCUCCGGGCCAGGUGCCGGGCGGAGACAGUGAGGCGGACUGGGUGGCACAGCGCUCAGGAAGACCCGAAGCUCCUCCUGCACUGGGGAUCUGAGGUUGCCACCGCAGGCCUGGCACGAUUAGGCCUUGAUGGGCGGCCUAGCCACCCCGGGCUGCUCAGGACAGGCACCUGGAGAUGCUUUCAACUGAAGUAAUGAAGGCAGUGUCAUGCUGUCGAGAGAAAGGUGGAUCCCAACAACAGGAAACUACCUAAAUCACCGACCAGUUCUGAUGCUGCCGGCGUAGGGUUGCCUCGCCCCUCGCCGCCUCCGCUGCCGCCACUGUCGCCGCCAAGGAAAGAGUCCUGCGAUUGCACCCAGACCAGUCCUCCGCAACCUGUCCCAGACACCACCCCAACCCCGCGGUGGAUGAAGAAGGCUCCGGUCUCGGGAAAGCCAGUCAAGCCCUUUAGCUAACCUGAAUGUCCAUGCUUCCAUACUCUGCUCUUGGCCGAGGGAGUAAAGAAGGAAGAAAAGAGAAACCAGGCCUGGACUCCCUGAUUAAACACAGCCCAGCACUCCAGGCUGGCGAACCCGGUGGCGGCUCCUUGCACCAUUGACCUCAGGCCAGACACCUCAGCGCCGACAAUGGGACCUAGAGCUUCCGGCUAAGUUUACACAGGGCUGAGCAGGAAACCAGAUCCAUGGAGGGGUACUGGGGCCCUUCCUUAGCAGUGGGUCCCAGAGGCAGCAAACCCAGCCCAGUCAGGACUUGACACUGAGGACGGUCUCAACCUCUAUAGAAUUUUAGUGAUAUGGCUUUUUCCCCCAGAAAACAAGUAAACCAACACCAAGCAAACAGACAAAGAAAUAAAAAAAAAUAAAAUAAAAUAAAAAGCCAGAACAAACCAGCCCUGCACAGACGAAACGACCUGGGAGAUGGCGAGUGUGGGAGGGAGAAAGGGGUCUCCGGCACAGGUGCGAGUUCUGGGGCAGAGGCUGGAGGCAGAAGGAUGGGUCCAGGCGCUCGGGAAGCGGAAAACUCGUUGUCUGGAAGUUUCAUCAGGAAAAAUUAAAGUUGGCUGUGAGCUCCCGGA